rnacentral:rRNA from 1 species
CCUACGGGAGGCAGCAGUAGGGAAUCUUCCACAAUGGGCGAAAGCCUGAUGGAGCAACGCCGCGUGGGUGAAGAAGGUCUUCGGAUCGUAAAACCCUGUUGUUAGAGAAGCAAGUGCGUGAGAGUAACUGUUCACGUUUCGUCGGUAUCUAACCAGCAAGCCCUGGCUAACUACGUGCCAGCAGCCGCGGUAAUACGUAGGUGGCAAGCGUUAUCCGGAUUUUUUGGGCGUAAAGGGAACGCAGGCGGUCUUUUAAGUCUACUGUGAAAGCCUUCGGCUUAACCGGAGUAGUGCAUUGGAAACUGGGAGACUUGAGUGCAGAAGAGGAGAGUGGAACUCCAUGUGUAGCGGUGAAAUGCGUAGAUAUAUGGAAGAACACCAGUGGCGAAGGCGGCUCUCUGGUCUGUAACUGACGCUGAGGUUCGAAAGCGUGGGUAGCAAACAGGAUUAGAUACCCCUGUAGUC